rnacentral:rRNA from 1 species
CACGCAGUAAACGAUGAAUACUAGCUGUAUGCGAUACACCGUAUGUGGCACAGCGAAAGCGUUAAGUAUUCCACCUGGGGAGUACGUUCGCAAGAAUGAAACUCAAAGGAAUUGACGGGGGCCCGCACAAGCGGAGGAACAUGUGGUUUAAUUCGAUGAUACGCGAGGAACCUUACCCGGGCUUGAAAUGCAGAAGACGGAUCGGGAAACCGAUUUUCCAGCAAUGGCUUCUGUGUAGGUGC